rnacentral:rRNA from 1 species
UUCCCUGGCGGCCAUAGCGGUGUGGUCCCACCCGAUCCCAUCCCGAACUCGGAAGUGAAACGCACCAGCGCCGAUGGUAGUUUGGCAUUCGCCAUGCAAGAGUAGGACACUGCCAGGGGCU